UUUUGCAGGUUGUUUUAGGAGUAACACGCAGCAGUGACAUCUGCAAAUGCACUUCUAGGGCACAGAGGGGAUGACUUAGGGAGGCGGAUUCCUCACCUUCCACCACCCAGGGCACCUGUGCUUUUUUUGCACACAGGUCGCCAUGAUUAUACUCAGAUAUUCGUCACUAUCAACGUCUAUCGGUUGAACGAUUUGGCUGGAAGUUUGAAUGUCAUGCAUUCAACGGAUGCUGAAGCGGUCCUGCCGUGUUUUUGUUCCUCUGCGUUCAUCUCCGCUGGAAACAACAGGCACUCCCGUCCGUACGUUACUUCUUACGUCGUAGCCUCGACCUUGAGAUUGGCCGGUAACCUAUUCCGAUGACGUAGCGAUAGCAAACCAUAGUGCGUAGUAUUGACGAUUAUGCUUCAUGGAUGUGUCAUUACAUUGAUUACAUUACCAAAUACGUCCCCAUAUGACGUCAUUUCCAUUUUAACGCGCUUCCGGUCGCUUCUCUGGUAUUAUCGAGUAUUCUGGUUGUCAGUGUGUUUCCUUUGUCCAGAGUUACUUUUCACUUGCUUCGCCAGUUACCCGACAGCCUACCUGGUCUUAUCUACAUGACAUCUACGUCAAAAAUGGCUCGCACCUUGGAUCUUGUUGGCCACGUGAAGCCUAAAGCCCUUGAAUAUGCCAAUCCAAUCCUUGAGCGUUCCGAAAGCGAAGUGGCGAAGUGUCUCACCACACGGUUUGACCAUGUGUCUGCUCAUUUAUGUAAACUGUAACCUUCCCAAGAAGUCUGUAUGAGUAUCAAUCACUUAGCAGAAAGGGCACAGUAAAAUGUCUACACAAUA